UACGAAGGGGGCUAGCGUUGUUCGGAAUUACUGGGCGUAAAGCGUAUGCAGGCGGAUCGUUAAGUCGGGGGUGAAAUCCCGAGGCUCAACCUCGGAAUUGCCUUCGAUACUGGCGAUCUUGAGUCCGGGAGAGGUGAGUGGAACUCCGAGUGUAGAGGUGAAAUUCGUAGAUAUUCGGAAGAACACCAGUGGCGAAGGCGGCUCACUGGCCCGGUACUGACGCUGAGAUACGAAAGCGUGGGGAGCAAACAGG
rnacentral:rRNA from 1 species